rnacentral:antisense_RNA from 1 species
CCUAAUGGUGGUGUGCACGGGCAGUCUUCGGACUGGCCGGUUUUCCUUUUGCCCGGUAGCGCUAACCCGUGUACACCGCCGCCUUU